rnacentral:lncRNA from 1 species
UUUUUUUUUUGGUAAUUAAAAAGUUGUAUUAAUCACCAAAGAGAUUUCAGUAUAAAGCCAUAGUGCAGCUAUUACACAGCUGACUAUCAUAUCUAAAUUCUAUAUCAACUAUCGCUAAGUUGUAUUAAUCACCAAAGAUAUUUCAGUAUAAAGCCAUAGUGCAUCUAUUACACAGCUGACUAUCAUAUCUAAAUUCUAUCAACUAUCGCUAUACCUAUCCCUCUAUUUACAGAAGAUAUUGCUGAAGCUGUAAUCUAACCUUGGGGGUACCUCUAAUAUUACAAGUAUAAGCAAUGGUCCUAAGUAGUUUAUCAGUGCUACAAAAGACAUUUUCAAAGAUCCUCGCAUUUGUUUCUAACCAUAAGGCAUAGAAGAGUUCAGCUACAACCAUUUUGAAUAUAUGAGCCCGGCUCGAUUUCUCUUUAGCAUUACCAAUAAUCCAUUGAAGAAAUUGUUCCCAAUUUAGGAAAUUGGGGUGAGUUUCCCUAAUCCAAGACAGUGUCUGAUGCCUUAGCUGAAUAGCAAAGGGACAGCUAUGUAAGAGGUGAUCUCUGGUCUCCGGGGCUUGCUGGCACAACACACAGAUGCUAUCUACAUUCAUACUUUCACUUUUUCUUUUCUUUUUUUACUUAUUUAUUCUUGUUCUUGUUUUAAUGAAUUUUUUCUUUUUCUUUUAAUUAUUUAUGGUCAAAAUAUACAUAUUCACACACAUUAUCCGUGUGAAUAUACUCACUUUGUUCAACUCAGCUCUGAUGUUGCCACAUAUGAUCGGUCAACGGUUAGAGGGGUUUAAAAUAUAAGUUUUGAGCAAGUAUAAGUGCCCAAUUGACAAAAUGCUGAGUUUGGGGACCGGAAUGACAAAGUGGCACAAGUAUAAGUGUGAUUUAAGCUAUAUUGCCUUUCUAUAAAGAUAACUUACUUCGUCGUUGCCAUAAUUACAUAACCACUUUUGGUGGGGGGNNNNNNNNNNNNNNNNNNNNNNNNNNNNNNNNNNNNNNNNNNNNNNNNNNNNNNNNNNNNNNNNNNNNNNNNNNNNNNNNNNNNNNNNNNNNNNNNNNNNNNNNNNNNNNNNNNNNNNNNNNNNNNNNNNNNNNNNNNNNNNNNNNNNNNNNNNNNNNNNNNNNNNGGGGGGGGGGGGGGGGGGGGAAUGUAUUGCACAUAUAAAAGGAAAAGAGAAUGACUUGAUUUGUAUCACUUGGCCAUAUGAGAUCUGCAUUUAGAAAUAUUUCGAUCUCGAUGUAUAUUCUGUCUACAAUAUUUUCUCCGCCUUCAACUUAGUUACAAAAAGCUGCAAUAGUAACUAGUUCCAAGUUACUGGGAAUUUUGUCUCUUUGAGGUAUUCUCUUAUUUUGAACCAUUAACAAAGUGAUAAUUUUCCAAUAAACGAGGAUUAUACAUAUAACAACAACAACAACAACAACAAAAAUUGAGUGAAAUUUUACAAAUGGGAUCUAGAGAAAAAAGAGAGUACGCAGACCUUACCCCCACCCCAAGAGAGUAGAGAGGCUGUAUUCAAAAGGCUUUCGACUCGAAAAGAUGAAAAGAAUCAAAUACAUCAAUACCAUCAUCGAAAAAUAUAAAAAUAAUAACAGCGACAUAAGAACCAAAAAAUAAAUGAAAAGCAAUAUUAAGAGAAUUAUACAUACAUAUAUUCAUAUUCCAAAUAUGAUGAAAUAUAUCUAUAAAAAACUAGAUGUAUUUGAUAAGCGACUUGAAUUCGUGAAAGAAUAUUUUAGGAAAACAAUACAUUUCUCUCUCUAGAACGAACUUUUAUCUCAGCCAUAGCUGAAAAUGACGAGGAAAUCAAAGACUAGAGGGGGAGGGUUGAACAUGCAGGAAUCAAAUCCAAGUAAUGUGAAUGAAACAAGAGAAAUUCCAUAAUCAACUGAUGCGAAGAAAACUCGAAGCCUCAAUGUACUGCAGGGAAUACAGCCAUUAGACUUGAGUCAAUCUCCUAUCAAUAGAACAGUAACUAGAAGCAAUGGUGGGAAGAAACAGGUUGAGACGCGUAAUUCAUGGGCAGAUAAGGUGGAGGAAGAAGCGGAAAAGCUGAAGGGUGCAGGGGAAACAAGCCCUAAGUCAUGGAGCAAAAUUGUAGCCAGUCUAAUUUAUGAAGUGUGAGCACGUAAUUUUUGACAUAUAUAUGAAUUAUUCCCAAAAAAUCAAACAAAACAAUUUUCUUAUUUUACAAUUUUUUGUGAAUUUUUGUGUGUUAUUUUCUCGUAACUAUUGCAUUUUAUCUAUGAAUUUUAGUUCAUAUGAAAAACAUAAAAAUACAUUUGCAUUUAGGAUCUAAUUUUAUAUUAUAGAUUUAAUUAGGAGUUAAUUUAUAUUAGAACAAAAUAUGAAGAAAAUAAAAAAAAUAGUUUAUUUUUUGUAUUUUUAAUUGUUUAAUUGCGAAUUCAUCGCACAAUAGUUUUUUAAAAAAACUAGGAAUUACUUAUUUAAUUUUUAAAAUAUAUUGGAUCUUUGUUUUAAUUUUUUGCAUUUUAUAAAAUAAAAAAUACAAAAAAAUAAAUACAAAAAAUAAACAAAAUAAAUAAAAAAAUGAAAAAACAAAAGCAACAAAAAGAAGGUUGUCUUCUAAAACAACCUGAAUUUGGGCCAAAUUUCUAAGCCCAAAAUAAAAUUGUCCCAGGCAGUCCAAACCCAAUUCCCCACCCGGUUCAAAGCCUUGCCCUCCCAAAACGACGCCAUUUCGCGUCGAUUAAUCCAGGAUGUCUAGGUUGAGGCGUUCUACGACUAGGAACUACUCCCAAUUUAUCAUAUAAUUGUCCUAAAAGCCUAGCUCCCUCUUCGCUUACCCCAUCAGUUGCCUUCACCAAAGAACCCCAACCUCAAGAACCCUAAAUCGAGCCGCCACCGAUUCCAACCGCCAGCGAUGGAGGUGCCACCAAAAAGAGCCCGAAAAUAACACCCCACGAUUGCCUCACUACCCUCAUCUCGAAUCCCUUGUCACCUUCCCUCGAAUCAUCACCAGAUUCUUCGAAUCUUAAUUCGAAAAUCCGGCCAAAAUGCUAAAGUGUCCAAACCCACCCAAAAUCACGCCCCAUAGUCCCUUGAACACCCUCAACCUAAAUCAUAAGCCAAGAACCUUCGAAUCUUAUAGGAACUGGACGAAUUGCGGACCUGGGGUUCAGGGUUCGAACCUGUUCUGGGGGAUUUCAAGGCGUCGAGCUGAUUUUUAAAUUGACGCUAUAUGUUUUACAUAUAACAUCAAUUAAAAAAUCAAAUUCGAUGAAUUAGUCAGAUGAAAGUAUAUAAGUGAGUUUUUGUUCUUAGUUUUAACUUUUGUUUAAUUUCGUUUUAAUUUUGUUCGGUUUUAUUCGUGUUAUUGGUCCUUGUUUUUUGCCACAUUUUAUUUCUGAUUAUUGAUUCCAUGUUUUUAUCAGUUCUGUGUUUCGCCUUCAUUUUUCUUUAAUCGUCGAUACUGAAUCAUGUGUUAGUUCAUGUGUUUCAUUUGUUUAGCUUAGUUUAGUCCGGUAGUGAGUAGUCUUUAUGAUUCAAUUUGAAUUUUUGUUUUGCUUAAGCCCGGUUCCUAUUAAUACUGUUAUGUUUAGUUUGUUGCUUCAUGAUCGAUUGCAUUCUUACUUGGUUUAGUUUGUUAUGUGGUAAUUAGAUUUUGUUUUGUUGAAUUUUGAUUUACUAGCUAAACACUAGAAUAGUUUUCUUGUUAAUAGUUCCCUGAUUUGGUAGAUUGAUCUUAGCCUGGUUAGUUUAUUUUGAUUGUUAGGAGUUCUGUUAGUUUUUAGGUGGAUUGACUAUAAUUGUUUUGUUUUUUUUACUAAUUUUAGUUUAGUCAAAGGAAUGGUGGUUUAAUUGUGGCCCAGGUGAGUAAUUUCAAAGGCAUUCAGGGGUAUUUGGAUACUUAAGGUUGGGCAGAAAUGUUGUAGAUUAUGUUUGAAGUUCCUACAACCUUCUAAAUUGGGGUACAAUUUAGAAUUUCAGGAAGCCCCAUAGUAUGACUUGAAAAUCAAGUCACAACUUUAGGGACACUUCAGCAACAAUGAAAAUUUAAAAAGGAUUAGACUCAAAAACUGAAAAUCUGAUGGUUGACCUCAUUGUGCCUAUAAAAGGGCAUCAUUGAUGCCUUGAAACACAAGUUUUGGAAGCCCAAAAAUUCUCCCAAAAAUAGUUUCUCUAUAUGUUAAUUUCAACUUUUGGUUGUUGAUUUGUUGAUUUUCCAGUUUAGUUUCUAUCUGGUUUAAGAGAUCCACUGGUUUGGUUUCGAUUGGUUUUGGUCUCAAUUGGGUUAUUCUGGGUCAGCUCUUGGGUUAUAUGCUUCUGUGAUAUAUUUUGGUGCAUUUACAAGCAUAUAUGGGUUCACUCGAGUGAUUGUUGGUCGGUUUUGAUUACUGGAGAAAUCCUGUAGUUUCUAGGUCAAGUUUGUAUUUGAUUGCUUGGAUUUUUGUUUGGUUUCAAACUCCCCUUAGUCACUGAAGUGAUUUCUGGAUGAUUGAUUUCUGCUCAAAGCUGUUGUUGCUGAGUGAUUCUGCUUCUUCCUAUUUCUAAAUUCUUGGUACACAGCUAUAAUUUUGGCACUUGUAAGAUGAAAACGUGAAGGUUGAAUAUACGUGAAGAGUUGAAAUUCUUAUUUGUUUCUCUAUGAUUUGUGUAUUUAAACUUUUCAUUCAUUGAUAAUAUGUAAAUCCCUAUUUGUUUUGUGGUAAGUGGACUGAGAUGGAGUAGUAUGAGAGAUUUUAAAUACAGUUCACACCGAUACAUGUUAGCAUCUGUUAAUCGAUUUUUGUAGUUAAAAGUGAGCUUGUUGUACUGUUGAAUUAGUCUAGACUGUGAUUGCACAUUAUGUUCGACUAGUUCUGAAUAUCAUUUUUCAUACUAAUUGCUAAUUCAGGAGGUGCUACAUCGAUUGAAAGGAAAAAUAAAGUGUAAAACGUAACUAGUUCUGGAAUUUGGUUAGAGCACUGGUUGUAGGCAUUAGCUCUGAUUUUAGCUACUAACUAAUUGUGUUGUUUAAUCAUUGAUCUCUCAAAAGUGUUGUUAAGAGUUCAUUAGUUUAUACACAGGAAUAUAUAGGUCAAACUAAUAGUAGGAUAACUUCAUUCAGUAUUUGCUAGGUCUAAUUUGAGGACCACUUCUAACUAGGAAGCAUAUUGCAUGCUGAAAUUCACAACUGAAAUCUCUGGUAUGGUCAGUCAUUGGGGAAAAUUGAAAGGGGGCUCUCUUAAUUGGCAUUGGAAUGUUCCACGCCCAAUGGGCCCAAACUCGAGCAGGUGCUAGUCUGUUCUACCAACUGAUAUUGGGGUUAACCCGAGAAAUAGAAACCACCAUCAAUAGCAGAAUUUCGUAGGAUAUCCUUUUAAAAAUAAAAUGAGACGAGCCUCGCCAAAUAGAACAUAUAAUUCCGAGACCCUCAAUAAUUGGUUGUAUUAAAUACGUAGACUUCGGGAUGGACCGUUUAGUGAAUUUCACGGCCUUCCCCAAAGGUAACAAUGCGUUAGACGUUUUAGGCGCAAUUUUAAUAAUAUUACAAUUCUAAACUCUUGUGCGCAUUUAUGUGACCCAAAUCCAAACCUCAACGAAGUCGAAAUGUGUCGACAACCAUGGGUGCAUUGAUGUGACGUGGUUCAAGACGCAUUUUCACGAGGAUGCAAUUUUUGUUAACAAUAAUGAUUAGAAAAGCGGUAUAAAAUUGAAAGACACAUAAGCUAAACAUGUUUUUAAAUCAGAUAAAAACAAAUACAACAGUUGAGCGACAGUGCUAGAACCACGGAACCCGAGAAUGCCUAACACCUUUUUUCUUGUUAACAGAAUUCCUUACUCGGAUUUCUAGUUCGCGGACUGUUAACAGAGUCAUAAUUUUCCUCGGUUCGGGAUUCAACCGAUCACUUGGGACACCAUUAAUCUCCCAAGUGGUGACUCUGAAAGUUUAAUAAUAAAUCCCAUUUUGAAUGUCCUUUAAAUGGAAAAAAUCCUUUACGCCCUUGUUGAUGUAGUGAAAAAGGAGUUGUGGCAUGAAAGAUUGGACUUAACUCCACAACACCAGGACAACACGAAUGUGAAUACUACAAUGGAGGAUAUAAAGGAGGAACUCGAUUACUGGAGCACAGCUGUGGUAUGUUUAGUACUGGUUAUAACCCUCCCCAAUCAGUAAUGAAAGGGUACUUCCAAAGGAUUUGGGGAUCGUUGGGUAUUGAUAUUAUAGCACUGGCUAAUAGAGGUGUGUUUUUGGUGAGAUUCCAUAGUUGUGAAAGUAAAAUCAAAGUGAUCAAAAAUGGAGUCCAGAUGUUCGACAGAAAGCCAGUGGUGGUAAAACCUUGGAAUCCUGAUAUAAACCUGAAAAAAGAAUCAGUAGACUUGAUACCAAUGUGGAUCAGGUUUGUUGGAUUGGAUAUUAAAUAAGCAGCACUCACAAAAGUGGAAGGUCUAGUAGGGAAACCAUUAAAGGCUUAUCGUGCUACAACACAGAAGGAGAGGCUAACUUUUUCAAGAGUUCUGGUGGAGGUUAAACCUCACCGGAAAUAUCCUAACACUAUCAUGUUUGAGGAUGAAAAAGGCAGAAUAGUGGUGCAGGAGAUUUUCUAUGAAUAGAAGCCAACCUUGUGUGAAAAAUGCAAGAAUUUUGGGCAUGAAAUGAAUGAAUGCAGAAGAUUCAUAAAAGAGGAGAAAGAGAAACAAGCUAGCAAGAAGACUAGUAAUGAGCCAAACAUAGAGAAGCAACUACAAAUGGAAAGACACGAUGGUAAUGAGCAGAACAAAAAUGUGCAAAUAGCAGGAGCAUGGGCAGAUAGUCAGAAGCAAUAAGGGGAAUGAGGUCGUAGCAAAAACAAAUGAUAUGGCAACAACAUUAAGGAGUUGGCAGAAUGUAGUGAUAAGGAAAAUAUGCGAAAGGAAACAACAGGGGGAUCUAAGAACAGAAAAAUCCUUUACUACAUUAGGAGACCAGCAACAGGAGAAGACAGAUGAAAACAACAGGAAGGGGGUGGAAAAUAGAACAAAAAAGGGAAAUGGAGUGAUAAUGGCCCUGGGAAAUGGGCAGGAUGGGGGUAACCCCUCAUCCAAUGGAUAGGAUAGGAUUUUGGAAUUCAAGGGGACUUAAUAGGCCACAUAAACAGACUGAAAUGAAAAUGUUUAUGGACAGCCAAAAAAUUGGGUUGGUUGGUCUCCUGGAAACUAAGAUUAAGAGAGAGAAAGCACAUCAAGCUGCUCUUAAUCUUUGUGGGGGUGGUCCUUUACUUCAAAUUUAGUAAAACUUCUAGGGGCAUGAUUUGGGUUGUAUGGAAACUAGGUGUGUAUGAUGUCAACAUCACAAAUGUCACUGAACAACUUAUCCACAACAUGGUUACUCAUAGGGGGACAGGGAACAAGUUCAAUAUUACAAUAGUGUAUGGGUUCAGCAACCAUAAUAUGAGAAGACAAAUGUGGGAGGAAAUGAAAAGUAUACACCAGCAGAAUAGUGGUCCUUGGGCUAUUAUGGGGGACUUCAACUGUAUACUGAACACUGAAGAAAGAAUAGGUAGCAUGGUGACAUUAGCAGAAAUAUGAUAUUUUAAAAAAAUGUAUGGAGGAGUGUUCUAUGCAGGAUAUGAGGUCCUCCGAAGCAUUCUACACAUGGAGCAAUAAGAAAUCAAGGGGAGAUAGAGUAAUGAGUAGAAUAGAUAGAAUCCUCACAAACUAUGAGUGGCAUACUUAGUUGCCAGCAUCUGGUGUGUUAGUGAUAAUUCGAAUUGGUUUUGGUUCGGAAAUGAGACACUUAGUCUCUUUAAAGAAGGUUUGGUUUUGAAAAGUCAACCAGAUGUUAACUUAUGAGUUAGAAGGUUCAGAUGUGAUUUUCGGUGAUAAACUGGAAGGGAGGGCGACAACAGAAUAAGGGAAGGUUUAAGUACUUCAACAUGUGGAGUGUGGCAUGGGACUUUAAAGAAAGAAUCAAAGAAAAUCGGAAAAGUGAUAUAGGGGGUACACAUAUGCAUCAUCUGGUGGGGAAAAUGCAUAGAAUCAAGAGCACAUUGAAGAAAAUCAACAAGGAGAGAUUCAGUAACAUUGAACAAAGGGCAGAAGAACUAUUGAAUAGACUGAAGCAAUGUCAAAGCCAGGUUUAGCAGGAUCCUAUGAAUGCAGCCUUGAUAGAUGAAGAAGUAAGACUGAAUGAAGAGAGUAGUAAAUGGUCAAAGGCAAGACUCAUGUUCUUGCAGCAGAAGGCUAAGGCACAAUGGCUCAACCAGGGUGAUCAGAACACCAAGUACUUCCAUGGUAUUCUGAAAGCUAGGAAGAAUAACAAUAGAAUAUUCCACAUUAAGGAUAUGAAUGGGAAUGACAUUGAUGGUCCAACAAAGAUCCCAAAGGCAUUUAUAGAGUUCUACACAUAAUUGUUUGAGAAGAAUAUGGAGGAUAUAGAUCAUGUAAAUAGACAAAUCAUCAGACAUGGCCCAAUUGUGAAGGAGGAGCAGAGAAUUGAACUAGGAGCAGAAUUCAGUGACAUAAAGGUGAAGGAAACCCUAUGGGCAAUUGCAGGUGACAAAGAAUAAGGUCCAAAUGGAUUUGGCAGCCAAUUCUAUAAAGAUUGCUGGGAAGUUGUAGGCUCAAAUGUAAAAGAAUGAGUGAUGGAAUUCUUCAAAGAAGGCAAGAUGCUCAAAACCAUCAAAACCACUGUGAUAACCCUUAUACCUAAAGGCUCUCAUGAUGAGGUAGUUGGAGAUUAUAGACCUAUAGCUUGUUGCAACACAAUCUAUAAGGUGAUAUCAAAAAUGCUUUGCAAUAGGCUCAAGAAAGUCUUACCUGGGCUUAUAUCCCCUAAUCAAAGGCCUUUGUGGAAGGCAUGAAUAUUGUUCAUAACAUACUGAUUUGCCAAGAUUUUGUGAGAUUGUACAAAAUAGAAGAAUACAACCAAAAGUUGUUUGAUCAAAGUAAACCUUAGAAAGGCAUAUGAUACUGUGGGGUGGGGGUUUAUGGAAGAAAGGAUGCACUCACUCAAUUUCCCUCACAAGUUCAUAAAGAGGGUAAUGUCUUGCAUAACAACCACACAGUACAAAGUUGCAAUUAAUGGUGGAGUGCAUGGAAAUAUCAUAGGCAAAAGAGGUUUGAGGCAAGGGGGCCUAUUUUACCCUUAUUAUUUUUCAUGUGCAUGGAAUAUCUCUUAAGAAUAGUUGCUGGUACUGGAAGAAAGUAUGCACAUGUAGAGACAAAUUUGUUGUUGGAUUUGUCAACAAUGGCUGACUUAAGCAAGGGGACAAAUACACAAUACAAAGUGGAUACCAAUGGUACAAAUGAGUUGCAGAGAUUAAGCCAUGGUAUCGUGGGGGUAUGGGGUCGAAUGAAUGUGCCAAAACACAGCUUCGCGAGCUGGCUUGCCAUGCACAGGAAACUAUUGACAAAGGAGAGGUUGCAAAAGCUAAAGAUAAACCAAGACAGUGACUGCUUGAUAUGUGGAAGACAUAAGGAAACAAUGGAGCACUUGUUCUUUGAAUGCAAACUUUUAGAGUAGUGCUUGAAGGAUUUGUUGAAGUGGAUGAAAAAGGGCACAACAAAAAUUGACCUCAAAGGUAUAUGGAGGAGAAUAAGUCGAGGAACACAAGGGUUAAGAUGCAGGGAAUUCACAACACCAGUGGUUGCAGCAUUAAUAUACAGAAUAUAGUGGGCAAGAAAUAAAGCAUUAUGGAACAAGCGGGUACCCACAGUAAAGAGUAUAUGUACACAAGUAAAGCAAGAAUGUAAGGCUAGAAUAGUUCCUAUGUUGAACAAAAAAUGUAGUAGAAAAGUAAGAGAAUGGAUAGAUCAAUUGUAUAGAUAUGGAUAGGACAUUAGGGAAGGAAGUAUAGCAAAAUACGGUAUAGGGGAAUAGAGGCAUACAUGAGAGAAUGAGGGAAAGUUUGUUAAGUUCUUGAUUAUUUGUGAAUAAAAGCUUUCUGUUUUACCAAAAAAAAUGAUAAACGGCUUGAUAGUUAUAUGGGUGAAUGAUAGAAAUAUGACACUUCACUGCCACUACUAGUUUUUUGACCCCACCUAUCCUAUUGGCUAAACUUCAAGUUUAUCAAGUAUUGUUACUCUCUUGCCCCAUAAGCAUUACCUUUAACUUUUGAUCUUAAAGAUUUGUCCGUAAGGCAUCCGCAAGUCAAAAAUUAACAGUGACCAUCUUCAAGGUCAUUUGGCAUAGUUUUCUAUAAUUAUAUAUAGACGAUAUCCAAGCUUCAAAGAAGCUUUAAUAAACAUUUGACUCUUAUGGUGAAAUUUAAAAAUAGCCAGCUUUACAAUUGGUCUUUCAAAAUAGACCAGUUGUAAAAGUAAUCAAAAUUUAGCCACUUUUCAUGUAAAGAUAAAUCUGAGCAAAACACUAUUCAUAACCUGAAAAAUACGCCAAUAUAUACUUGAACUCCAACAUAUUAUACUAGAAUUCCAGGAUAACUAUGCUGGAACUCCAGCAUAAUAUGAAGGAGUUCCAGUAUAAGUACACUACAACUUCAGCAUAAUAUACUGGAGUUCCAGCAAGUAUCCCGGUCUAGCAUAAUAUACUGGAUUUUGGAGCACCGGUGCUCCACUCUCCAGUGUAUUAUACUGGAUCCAGCAAAGUGUCACGACCCGAUUCUCCAAACUAGUCGUGAUGGCGCCUCUCAUGAAGACAAGGCCAGCCAACUAACCCAAUUAGACCCCUUCCAAAUAAUUAAACAUAUAUGAAAAGAAAAAUACGAAUUAAGGACAUUCAUUAAUGAAAUUAUCAACUCAACGCAACCCGACCGGGAUGUCACAAAUCAUGAGAAUCUAGAAGAAUUUUUUAUACAAUUACAAUGUCUAAAAUACAUGGAUGUAAUCUGGAAUCAAAAACGAAGAAAUUCGGUGCCGCGAGCGCUGGCGGUCACCUUGCUCUGCUAUGAUAGAAAACCCCAACCAGCUCAACCCGCUACAGGGUAAGUCAAUACCUGCAUCUGCACGCGAGGUGCAGGGAGUAAAGUGAGUACUCUAACUCAAUAAAUAAUAAGGGUAAAUAAUGACUGAAGAGCAAGAAACCAUGUAAAGCAAGUCAUCAUGCUAUAGUACAGUGCAACCCUUUGAGAAAAUAGUGAAAACGUGAAAAUUCAUUAGAAAAUACCUUGACUCAGUUCAAAACCUCUUUUAAAAUAUAUUUUUCCUACAUUUAAGCAAAUGAAUACGGAACAGGUAGUGCAAGUCAGCACAAAAUUCAACCCCUCGGGCACAAAUACCACAGUAUAACAGGUAAAAAGGCAAAUAAGUAUGCAAGAUGAGCACAUAAAAGUUUGCCACUUGGAUAAUAUCUUAAACUGUACCAGCCCCUCCGGCUCCCUCUCUCAGAUUGCUCCCUGAACAGUAUCACAUAAGCUCGCCCAUCGGGAAAUAUCUCAAAUUGUACCAGCCCAUCGGGCUCCCUCUCUCAGAUUAGUCUCAGAACGGUAUCACAUAGAAACUGUUACGGCGUGCAGCCAGAUCCACAUGUCACUGCGGCAUGCAGCCCGAUCCAUACGGAUACUCGUGCUCAUUGUGGGGGUGCAGACUCCGAAGGGGCUCCUAAUCCCAAGCGCUAAAUUACUGCGGCAUGCAGUCCGAUCCAACAUAUAUAUACUGCUGUAGCGUGCAGACCGAUCCAUAUAAGUAUCGUUGCGGUGUGCAGCCCGAUCCAUAUAUAAUCCUCACAUCCGGCCGUCAGCCCACAUAACUCAGUCAGUGUAUCAUCACAAGCCUCUCGGGCAUUAGUAAAAUAGUAGUCGUCAGCCCAGAUUAUCAUUUAACAUAUCAUUUAAGACUCAAAUCUGAUUAAAAGUGGCUGGAUGGUAAAAUAGUGGAGAAACAAUAUGACUGAGUUCAAGUAAUAAGUCAAAACAAUGAGGAGACAGUAAAAAUAAUCCCUGCACGAAGCCCAAACAUGACAAUCAGCCUAAACUAUGAUGAUAACAAGUAGUUUCAGUCAAAUACGCGGUAAAAAUUAACAGCCAGGAUGGACCAAGUCAUAAUCCCCCCACGCUCAUAUUCAGCGUGAAAGUCACCUCAAUACAGUACUAUGAUGUGCAAAUCCGGGGUUUCAGACCCUCAGGAUAUUAUUUACAAGUAUUACUCACCUCGAACCGGUAAAAUCUCUAGCUCGCGACGCUUUUGCCCCUCAAAUCGACCUCCACACACGUCGUAUCUAACUAAAAUCAGAGUGAAUAUAUCAUAAUAUGCUAAGGGAAUAAUACCCAAUCGAAAACAAUCGAGAAAUAGCAAAAAUCUCGAAACUAGCAAAACCCGAGCCCCGGGGCUGCUUACCGUACAAGACUCAAUUACCGGAUUCCUCAUCUCGCCACGAGUUCAUACAUACCAAUAACUCCCAAAUCCGAGCUCAAAUGACCUAUCAUAUCCCAAUUUGAAAUAUCAAAAACUCAAGCACUAGCUUUACCCCUUUUUGAGGAAUUUCAACAAAUUUUCAUGUUAAAUCGAUCAUAAUCUCGUGUAUUUAGGUCAAGGAACUUACCUCCAACCAAUCUUCCUUGAAUCCCUCUUCAAUUUUUUCCAAAGAGCUCUCAAAAUACUCAACAAUGGAGAACUAAAACUCGCGGAUGAAAUGUUUAUAAACUCACUGCCCAGCUCCUGCAUUUCCUUCUACGUGAUCACAACCUAGGCCCCACGAUCGCGUAACACAAAAAUCCAGUCUCUCAAAAUAUCUCUACGCGAACGUGAUUAAAGCCCUGCAAACGCGAGGCACUACCAACUAAUACUACGCGAUCGCGAACCUCUCACACGAGAACGCGAUGGCUAACCACUUCCAUUACGCGAUCGCGUGGCCACUAAUGCGAACGCAUAGGCCAAAUUUCCUUGCCCUCAAAUUUACAAUACGCAUCCGCGACUUACCCCAUGCGAACGCAAUGAACAAUAUUUUUUUGCAACACCAACAACUGAAACCUGCAAUCUCAAGUCAAAAAAUGGUCCGAUUGACCCUCCGAAAGCACCCUGAGGCCCCCGGGACCUCAACCAAAAGCACCAACAUGUCUAAAAACAUUAUCCAAUCUUGUUCCAAUCAUCACAACACAUCAAACCAUACUGAAAUCAUCAAUUCUCAUCGGAUUCAAGCCUAAUAUCUUUAAAAACUUUCGAAACGCGCAUUCUAUCAAAAACUCAACCAAACGACGUCUGAAUGACCUGAAAUUUUGCACACACAUCACAGCUACAACAACUCUCAGAAUUCCAUUCCGAGCCCCGGGUCAAAUUCUCACCUACCAACCGGAAUUCGCCAAAAUACUAACUUCGCCAAUUCAAGCCUAAUUCUACACCAGACCUCCAAAAUCAAUUAUGAUCACACUCCUAAGUCGCAGAUCACUUUCCAAAGCUAACCGAAUCACCGAAAAUCACAUCUGAACUUUCUAACUCAUAAGUUAACAUCUGGUUGACUUUUCAAAACCAAACCUUCUUUAAAGAGACUAAGUGUCUCAUUUCCGACCCAAAACCAAUCCGAAUUAUCAAUAACACACCGAAUACCGAUAGCGAUACAUGAAGAAGCAUAAAAUGGGAAAAACGGACAAUCCACAUUAGACAACGGGUCGGGUCGUCACACAAAGUAUACCGGUCCAGCCUUCAUAUACAAGUGCACCGAACUCUAGUACAUUAUGCUGGACCGGUCUCUGUUGCAGCAAAAUAGUGACUAUUUUUCAUUGACUUGAUAAACGCUGGUUAUUUUUGAAUGACCAGUCCGAAAACUGGCUAUACCGUGCUAUUUUUACUUAACUUUUGGCCUUUAAGGUUUGGCCAUAAGGCAUCCGCAAGUCAAAAAGCCCAACCUUGUCCAAAAUGUUUGAAUAGGGCUAAAUAAAUAUAAGGCCCAAUUUCAUAUAUUUUGACCCGCAUAUUGUAAACGGGCCCAUCUUGUUGAACUAGGCUUUGAAUGAAAAAAUUGACAACUAAAUAUCUUAAAAAAGCAAUUUCAAUUUGCUUGCAGUUCAUGGUAUUUCGCAGCUUAAGUUUGACUUAUAAUCCACAGUUAGUUUCUAAAUUUCCUUUGAAUUCAACUUUGUAAUAGUUCUGGAUUUCGGAACUAUAGUUAUUUUCUUUCUAUAAAUAAAAUGGUAAUGAUUUUAUCUUAAAAAUUUCUGGGUCAACUUUCUCAUGAACGAAUUAUUCUAUUUUAAUUUGUCACUAAUUUCCAAAUAUAAUUUAAUGAACUGAUAGCAAUUCUACAAUAUUUAAUAACAUUAAACAGUUAUGGGCUAUAAAUCUCAUCAAAGUUUCAAUAAUUUGACCAUAAGAUUGAAGUAGCCCAUUUCAAUUGGGACCAAUAAACUUCUAAUUAAGACCAGAUCAUCCACUUUCUUUUAUAUACAUUAUAUAACUAAAUAGGCUAUUGGUGAAUUCUCCUGUAAACAGGCCCGGGCCUGAAUAGGGACUGGACCGGGCCCGCGAUCCUGACGGGCUUGGUGGGCCGGUCUCAGGCCUGCCGGUCCUAUAGGCCCGUGACAGGCCGGUUUAGAAGUGAAGAACCGCCAGGCCCGGGACCGCCAGACGGGCCUGGGCCGGUCCUGGCGGGCCCAACAGCUCUUUUUUAAAAAAAAUCAGUAACGACUCUUUUCAAAAGUAGCCGUUUGGAACUUUGUAAAAUAGCCAUUUGGCUAAAUAUCUUUUUAUAUAAAAAAAAAUCAGUAACGUCUCUUUUCAAAAGUAGCCGUUUGGAUCUUUGUAAAAUAGCCAUUUGGCCCCCAAACUUUAAUUUAACCUCAAACUUUAUAUAAUUAUAAUUUUUCCCAUAUCUCAACUAUAAAUACCCCCUCACUCUUCCAUUUUUAUUCACCAAUUCAUCAAUAUCUCUCAAUCUCUCUUUCAAUCUUUCUACUACAAUUGCUUAAUUUAUUGUUGAAAAUUCGUGAAAAAAUGUGAAGUUGUUGAAUUGAAGUUUUUAAAUGUUCAACGAUUUUCAAUUUUCAAGAAGUUGUUCGGCAACCCGGUAAACUCGUUUCUACUCUUACGUUUUAAUAAUAUAUUUUUGUGUUGUUUAAUUUGCAUAAUUAUAAUUAGUAUGGCAUUUUCUUUGAAAAAAUAUUCGGUAAAGGAAAAGGUAAAACCGGUGAAACUAGUGGCCAUAAUACUACCCUUCCCCCAGCUCCCCGACCUACAAAAGAUAAGCAAGUUGAAAGUAGUAGCCAACNNNNNNNNNNNNNNNNNNNNNNNNNNNNNNNNNNNNNNNNNNNNNNNNNNNNNNNNNNNNNNNNNNNNNNNNNNNNNNNNNNNNNNNNNUCCCGUAAUUCUUGAUAGUAAUCACCCUUGUUUUCAAUUUACCGAUAGUGAAUUUCUACAUGAUGUUGCAGUAGGUGAUAGAUUAGAUGAUGAAAUUAAGAAUGCUUUUUGUCCUAAUGAACCUAUCUUAGAGGAAAAUGAGGAUGAUGAUGAUGAUGAAACCAAGCACCAUAUUUAGAUGAUACACCUACUAAUCUUGUUCAUAACUCAAGUAAUGCACCAGCACGCCCACCUACUAGCUGAUUUGUUUGUUAAAUUUGGUGAGGGUGGGGAUAUUUAUGAACUUGCUAUAAAUGAAAUGAAACAAAACUUUAAAAAAUAUUUUUUUCCCUAUCCCUCCUUUUUUUGGUGUUGCUUCAAUGUUAAAUCCUACAAUGAAAUUGGGAGGUCCUCAUUUUUGGUAUUCAAAUAUUUAUAAGGAUUUAGAUCUUUCAAACGAGGAAGUUUAAAUCCUACAAUGAAAUUGGGAGGUCCUCAUUUUUGGUAUUCAAAUAUUUAUAAGGCUUUAGAUCUUUCAAACAAGGAAAUUGUUACACUUGCAGAUGCAAAAGCAUCAAUUAAAAUUAAUGCUCAAAGUGUUUAUAAUACAUAUAAAGUUGCGUUAGAGCAUUCUAGGCCAAAUAUUCCAACCCCUACUUCGUCUAGCUCACAAUCGUCUAAAAGAGCUGCGGGCUUAACAACUCUUAUAUCUUGGAAGGAGUUCCGGGGUUCUCAAGGAGAUAAUUAUGAUGAAACUUCACAUCUAGAUGAGCUUCAAGUUUAUUUGUCUCAGGGACUUGAAAAGGAGAAUCCAGACGGCUCUUUUGAUCUUUUGGAAUGGUGGAACAAAAUGAGCUUCAAAUUUACUUGUCUCAGGGACUUGAAAAGGAAAAUCUAGACGGCUCUUUCGAUCUUUUGGAAUUGUGAAAGUCAAGGGAAAAAUAUCUUCCGGUUUUUGCAAGGAUGGCUCGGGAUGUUUUAUCAAUUCAAGCUUCAACUGUUGCAUCGGAGAGCGCUUUCAGUCAAGCAAGACUACAAAUCGGUGAUCAUAGAGAGCUGAUGAGAGAUAGCUUGAAAAAAUCGGUGCUUUUUAGAGAUUGGAUCCUCGCGAAAAGAAGAAACUUUGGAAUUGCAGAAUCACAACCGGCAAUAGAUGAAGCUUAUGAAGAAAAGAAACUUUGGAAUUGCAGAAUCACAACCGGCGAUAGAUGAAGCUUAUGAAGAAAUGAUAGUGGAACUUUCGAAGAAUUCGGCUUCGCCUGAAAGUGGUGAUGAACAAGCUUCGUUUCCACCACCACCAACACAACCUCCUCCCAACCUUGACGGAAUUAUGAGAUUUGUUAGAGAUACAAUGUAGAUUAUGAUGUAACUUGUACAUUGGCACAUUUUCUUUUAGUUUUUUUUUCCUUUUAAUGGUGGUAUUAGUACCUUGUUGUGCUCAUUCCAUUGGAGGAAGGAAGAUUAAGAAAGAUAUGCCAUUUUGGGCAAUAAAAAUUAUAAGACUUAUCCUUGAAUAUCUAUUUUCUUAAUAUUUCUUUGUCUUUUAUAACAUAUAUACAAAAGAUAUAAUAUAUAUAAGAGAAUAUAUAUACAAUAUACAUAAGAGAUACAAUAUUAUACUACAACAAAAUAUAUAUACAUAAUAUACAAUAUAUAUACUACAUAAAAUUAUAUAAGAGAAUAUAUAUAUAUAUAUAUAUACACACACACACAUAAGAUACAAUAUAUACUACAAGAAAAUAUAUAGAGAAUAUACAUAUAUACAAAAUAUACAAUAUAUACUAAUUAGUAUAACACAAUAUACUAAUUACUACAACACAAUAUAUACAUUAUAUACAAUAUAUACUAGUUAUUACAACACAAUAUAUACAUAAUAUAUAUCCAUAUAUACACUAUACUAAUAACUACUAUACAAGAUAUUGCCUUAAAAAAAACCACGUCAGGACCGCCAGGCCCAUGGGCUUAGGCCCGUCACGGGCCGGUCUCAACCGUCAGGACCGUCAAGCCCACCAGACCCGGCAUACGAAGCCCGAGACCGCAAAACCCGGCCCGUGAAGCCCGUUUAGGCCCGGGCCCGAGCCAGUUUACACCCUUAUUAAUAUGGGUCGCUCACCUAAAUGGCGACAUCAAAAAUCAAAAUACUAUCCACUUACUCUAACUAAUGACAAACAAAUUUAAAAAUUUAUAUGAAAAUAUUUAUAGAGGAAUAACUUUAGGUAAAAGGCAGAUUAUCUAUCUAAUCUACUGAAAAUCAUACACUAAAAAUAUAUGUGGGGCUAUUUGUGUUUAUACACGAUGUUCCCUUUGUAGUAGCCAUUAAAGUGGACGUCCAAUUCUGUGCUACAUAUGAUUUGAUGGAUAGAUCUUUCAAAUAUAUACAUAUAUGAAAAACAAAUAUCCGAGUGGCUAAUCGAAUAUUUAUAUCAAAUAAAUACAAGAAUUAUGGGUAGGUUGAAAGUUAAUCACGCACUUAUAAAUUUUCGUCACAAUUAACAUGUGCUUUCGAAUAAUAAUUUAUAAAUUCCACAAAAUCAUACAUUGAUACAUAAGCAAAGUUGAUAUAUUCCCUGUUUGACUAAACAUUUAAGCACAACAAUGAUGAAAAACAAUACUAGCAUUACUUAAACAUACUUUUACCUACCAUUUUAUUCUUUCAGCCAAAAAAUUUAUAGAUUUAAAGAGAAAAUACUACUUUAGUAUUCGAAAUAUAUAGCACUAAAAUCCUAGAUGUGUAUUGGUAAAAAUUUGGAUUAGACUUAAUGAGCGCAAAUGGACGUGGUCAAGGACUAGACUAACCACGGCAUAAGAGCGAGGAGUCGCCUCAAGAAAGAUUUGUUAGUAGACUGUAUUUGUAAAAUAAUUCUGGAAAUAUAAAUUAACAUAAACAGAAAUUAUAAUAAACAGAAAUAACAUAAAACAAAAUGAUCAUAAACAAUUCGAGCCCAUUGAAUUCACAGUGUCUGCUUAAGGAAUUUAAUCCCCUUCUAGCACCCAAGGUUAUGGAUUAUUUCCUCCCAAGAUAGAACGAAUUACACACUGGUGUAGUGGUACUCCACACGUCAGUGUUUCUGCUAACACAAAUAUCAGUAGCAAAUCAUGCUUACUUUUUGCUUUGUUUGUAUGCUAAAAGUUUGAAAAAGAAGGAGAGAAAACUCAGAAAUUCAUAGUGAAAUUCUGAGCGGAAUAGUGUUGUAUUUAUAGUCAAAAUUUGGGUAGGAAUCUGAAGAGGUGAAUCUCUUCAAAAUGGUUGUUUUUGCAAAACUGCCACAGCAUAAAUGUCAUUAUAUAAAUGGCUAUUUACUCAACAAUAAAGAGGGAAAAUUGAUGGGUAGUUAAUUUUCUGUUACAAAAAAAGAAAAACGGAUUGGAUUUAAUAUUAAUAUGUAAUAUUAAUAUUCUGUUAUUAACAAAUAUUUAAUAACAUAUUUGGUCCAAAAAGUUAAUCAAUCGAUCGAUCAUUUGACCAAAUCCAAAUUCGAAGCCGAAGCCGAGCGAGCGACGCGACGGUGCGAGGCUUGCUUCCUUCUUAACUCUUUAAGAUCUAGAAGAAGAGCAAUUGCUUAUAAACCCAUAAAAAUCUCUUCCACUUCCAAUAUGGGACAAUGUCCAUAUGCCAAGGGAGGGAAACUUGAAAUUUCACUCAAAAAUUUCAUUUUCCUCCAUUUCCCAUUCAUCCUCUUUUAAGUAUUUAAUUUAUUAAUUAAAUGUAUAAACCCAAAAAUCCACCACAAUGGGGAAUGGCUAUAUCGCGGAAGUAUGCAUAAAAAAAUGUGUGAUUCGCAAGCAAGGAUUAAUUGCAUCUGGAUAAGUAGGUUUACCUUUGAACUUUUCGUAGUGAACUUAUGUCGGAUAUACUCGAUCAAUCGGUAGAUUUGAUAUCNNNNNNNNNNNNNNNNNNNNNNNNNNNNNNNNNNNNNNNNNNNNNNNNNNNNNNNNNNNNNNNNNNNNNNNNNNNNNNNNNNNNNNNNNNNNNNNNNNNNNNNUCACACAACCAACCCUUAACCGUCUUUGGUUCUCAUUGUUGUGUUCGUUUCAGCCAUGAAUACCGUCUGGUUUCAUAAGUGCGUAGAGAACUGUCCUUAAAAAAUUCUCCUUGAAGAGGCUAAAACUUCACACUUACAUAGGCGAUUCCUAAAUGUGUCAUCCCGUAGAUACACUCAAACAUAGAAAUCAUUAAAAAGCCUUAAUGCUUUAUCCUUUGUACUGAACGUUGUCUCAUCAAGAGAAUGGAUCAAAAGUUUAGUUGACAAUAUUGAACCGUCAUAAAUGACUUUGUUUGAUAUCCUUAGGCCUAGAUCUUGAGAUCUCCAGUCUUCUAGGUAGAGUUACUGCCACUAUGACUUGUCCUCGGUCACAGUCCCAUUCCCCUUGAUGACUUCUCAACUACCUCUCUAGUUAGGCGUUUUGUAAGUGGAUCCAACACAUUAUCGCUUGACUGUACAUAGUCAAUCGUGAUAAGUCCUCUAGAAAGUAAUUGUCUAACGGUUUUAUGUCUUCGGAGUAUAUGACGAGAUUUACCGUUAUACAUAACGCUCCCAGCCCUUCCAAUUGUUGCUUGACUAUCAGAAUGUAUGCAUAUUGUUACCAACGGUUUGGAACAAAAUGGAAUAUCUUCCAAGAAAUUACGGAGCCAUUAAGCUUCUUCACCGGCUUUAUCCAAGGCUAUGAACUCAGCCUCUAUUAUAGAGCGGGCAAUACAAGUUUGUUUGGACGACUUUCAAGAUAACGCUCCUCCACCAAUAAUGAACACAUAUCCACUUGUGGACUUAGAAUCAGUUGAUCCGGUGAUCCAAUUUGCAUCAUAGUAUCCCUCAAUGACUGCAGGAUAUUUACUGUAGUGCAAAGCAAAGUCCUGGGUAUGUACUACAUUACAGUAUCCCUCAAUGACGGCAAGAUAUUUACUAUACUGCAAAGCAUAUGUACUAAAUACCCCAAAACUCAUUUCAUGGCCAUCCAAUGAGAUUGACCUGGAUUGCUCGUAUAUCGACUAAAUUUAAUUAAAGCACAAGCUAUAUCUGCUCAUAUAUAAUUCAUGAUGUACAUUAAGCAUCCCAACACACGAUCAUAAUCCGAUUGUGAUAUGCUUUGGCCUUUGUUCUUUGCUAAUGCAAGAUUCAUGUCAAUUGGACUCUUUGCAACUUUAAAGUCCAAGUGCUUGAAUUUUUCAAGUACUGUCUUAAUAUAAUGAGAUUGUGACAAUGCAAGACCUUGAUAAGUCUUAUGGGUCUUAAUUCCCAGAAUUAAAUCAGCAACUCCCAAGUCUUUCAUAUCAAACUUAGUUAGCAUACGCUUAGAUUUGCAACUUUAAAGCCCAAGUGCUUGAAUUUUUCAAGUACUGUCUUAAUAUAAUGUGAUUGUGACAAUGCCAUACCUUGAGAAGUCUUAUGGAUCUUAAUUCACAGAAUUAAAUUAGGAACUCCUAAGUUUUUCAAAUCAAACUUGCUAGUUAGCAUACGCUUAGUAGCAUUUAUGUUGGCAAUGUCAUUACUCAUUAUGAGCAUAUCAUCUACAUAUAAGCAAACAAUGACUAUUGUAUGUAUCAAAAUAGUCAAGACCUUCUUUUUGUCUAUACCAUUCGACCACAAGUUUGCCUUAUAUUUGUCAAUAGUGCCAUCAUCUUUCAUUUUCCUCUUAAAGCUCAAUUUAGAAGCCAACGGUUUAUUUCCAGGAGGAAGAUCAACCAAUUCCUAUGUAUGGUUGUUCAGUAUGGAUUCAAUUUCACUAUUGAUUGCCUCUUUCCAUAACAAUGAUUCCGGAAGAAGAAAUAACUUCUUUAAAUGUUUGAGGCUCAUUUUCCAAUAAGAAAGUCAGAAAAUCUUGUCCAAAUGAAGUAGACAUUAUUUGAUGUUUACUACGUCUUGGAUCAUCCUAUUUAAGUGUACUUUCUUUUGUUUCUUCCUGAGGUCGUUUAUAUCCUUCACUAAUCGACUCACAUUCCUUUUUAUACGGAUAUAUAUUUUCAAAAAAUUCAGCACUAUCUGAUUCUAUAACCGUAUUAUUAUGAAUGUUGGGAUUUUCUGAUUUAUGAACCAGAAAUCGAUANNNNNNNNNNNNNNNNNNNNNNNNNNNNNNNNNNNNNNNNNNNNNNNNNNNNNNNNNNNNNNNNNNNNNNNNNNNNNNNNNNNNNNNNNNNNNNNNNNNNNNNNNNNNNNNNNNNNNNNNNNNNNNNNNNNNNNNNNNNNNNNNNNNNNNNNNNNNNNNNNNNNNNNNNNNNNNNNNNNNNNNNNNNNNNNNNNNNNNNNNNNNNNNNNCAUUUCUCAUAUGGAAUUGAUUGUGUUUUGCUAUGGGGUACUCGAUUUAGUAUUCGGCUAGCCGUAAGAACGGCUUCCCCCCACAAGUUCUGUGGCAAACAAAACUUAUCAAUAAUGUGUUCAUCAUCUUCUUUAAUAAACGAUUCUUUCUUUCUGCAAUCUCAUUGGAUGGGGGGUGUAAGGGGCUGUUGUUUGAUGAAUAAUUCCACAUUCUAAACAUUUUUUUUCAAAAGGAGAUUCAUAUUCACCACCCCUAUCACUUCAUAUCAUUUUGAUUUUCUUGUUAAGUUGUGUUUCAACUUUAUAUUUGUAAUUCUUGAAUGUGUCUAUUGCUUCAUCUUUACUAUUAAGUAAGUAAACAUAGAAAUAUCUAGUACUAUUGUCGAUAAAAGUUAUGAAAUACUUCGUUCCACCGCGAGAUGGUAUUGACUUUAUAUCACAAAUAUCUGUGUGAAUUAAGUCUAAAGGAUUUGAAUUCCUUUCAACUGACCUAUUAGGAUAUUUAACAUACUUGGAUUCCACACAUACUUGACAUUUUGAUUUGUCACGUUCAAAUUUAGGCAAUACUUUCAAAUUAAUCAUUUUUUGUAAGGUUUUAUAAUUAACAUGACCCAAACGUAUAUGCCAUGAUUCAUUUGACUCAAGCAAGUAAGACGAAGUUGAAAUUUUAUUAUUAUUCUCCACAACCAUUACAUUCAACUUGAAAAGGCCCUCAGUGAGGUAACCUUUUCCUACAAAUAUUUCAUUCUUACUUAUUACAACCUUAUCGGAAACAAAAACACACUUGCAUCCAUUCUUAAUAAGUUCAGUAGAGACUAAAUUUUUCCUAAUUCUGGGAACAUGAAGGGCAUUGUUCAAAGUCACCACUUUGCCGGAAGUCAUUUUGAGACAUAUCUUCCCACAUCCUUCAAUCUUUGCCUUUGCAGCAUUUCGCAUGGAAAUGGUCUCAUCGGGUCCAACAGGAGCAUAAGUAGCAAAAGCUUCCUUGACAGCACAAACAUGGCGAGUGGCUUUAGAAUCAAUCAACCACUCUUUCGGAUUGCCCACCAAUUUGCAUUGGGAAAGCAUGACGCAUAAGUCAGCAACAUCAUCAUGCUUUUCUACCAUUUGCUUGACGCUUCUUCUUGUCUUUCUUCGGAGCACGACACUACGUAGAUUUGUGUCCAGUUUUUCCGCACAUGUAGCAGUUUCCACUAAACCGCUUCUUACUUAGGUUGUAUUUCGCACCAGAAGCUUUCUUUCUCUUCUUGUUCUCUUCAACAAUAUUUGCUCCCAUUAUUGUUGAACUCCCACGGCCUCUGUUUUCAGCAGCUUUGUUGUCCUCUUCAAUUCUCAGUCUAACGAUGAGAUCUUCAAGGGACAAUCUCCUUCCGUUUGUGUUUCAAGUAGUUUUUGAUGUCCUUCCACAAAUGAGGAAACUUCUCAAUCAUUGUUGCUACUUGAAAUGCUUCAUUGAUGACAAGACCUUCAAUGAAAUUUCCGUUAGUAAGAAUACUAAGAUUACUACUUUCAACAUCAAUAUUAAUUUGAUCCAUACCUUUAGCAAGGAGAUCGUGUAUAAUCACUUGCAGUUCUUGGACUUGAGUAAUAACAAAUUUGCUAUCUACCAUUUUAUAGUCCAAAGACUUUGCAGCCACGAACUUUUUUAACCCGGCAUCUUCAGUUUUAUACUUCCUUUCAAGCGCAGUCCACGGUUCUUUUAACGUUUCCACGCCACUGUAGACAUUAUACAAAGCAUCCUCCAACCCUCUAAGAAUAUAAUUCUUGCUCAAGAAAUCUGAAUGCUUCCACGCCUCAGUCGCGAGCAAGCGUUCAUUAUCAGGAGUAGAAUCGGCCAACACAUGGACAUCUUCCUUGAUGAACUUCUGAAGACUUAAGGUAGUCAAAUAGAAGAACAUCUUUUGCUGCCAGCGCUUGAAAUCAAUCCCGAAAAAUUUUUCGGGUUUCUCCGCCGGUGUCAAUGCUGCUGGUGUUCAGCUCGUUGAUGCAUUGGUUGUCACCAUUGGAACAGCUUGGUUCUCAUUCUCAUUAGUCAUUUCUGUAAAAGAGUGACACCAACGUUAAAAUCACGUAGAUUUUAAUAGAGUACAACACCGCAAAGGUUUUACUCUCUAGAAAAUAAUAAUACAAAUACAGAAAUAUAUUUUAAAUUCCAUAAGCUUGUUAGUAAACUGUAUUUGUAAAAUAAUUCUGAAAAUAUAAAUUAAUAUAAACAGAAAUUAUGAUAAACAGAAAUGACAUAAAACAAAAUGAUCAUAAUCAAUUCGAGCCCACUGAAUUCACACUGUCUCCUUAAGGAAUUUAAUCCUCUUCUAGCACCCACGGUUAUUGAUUAUUUUCUUUCAGGAUAGAAUGAAUUACAUACUGGUGUAGUGGUACUCCAAAUGCCAGUAUCUCAGCGAACACAAAGAUCAGUAACAAAUUACACUUCCUUUUUACUUUGUUUGAUGCUAAAAGUAUGCAGAAGGAGAGAAAACUUAGAAAUUCGUAGUGAAAUUCUGAGCAGAAUAGUAUUGUAUUUAUAGCUAAAAUUUGAGCUAAAAUCUAAAAAGAUGAAACUCUUCAAAAUGGUUGUUUCUGCAAAAUUGCCAUGCAUUAAAGAACUUUUUUCCGAACUCAUUCGAUUAAUUUAAUAAUAUCCGGUCCCUGUUCUUUUCACUUAUUUUGGCUCUUUCGUAGCAUAACACUUAAUCGUCAUUUUGCCUUGCUUUUCGCUCAUUUAUCGAAUGCGAAAGAGAAAGAUACAAAAAAAUUAAUUAAAAGAUAUACAAAAAUAAAUAAGUAACCCAUCCUAAUUAAAUGUAUAAUUUCCACCAACUGCAGUGGUUACAAAUAGUAAUAUAUUAUACAAUCAUCUCAAAACCUACCUAACAAAUGAAUCUCCCCCCUCCAACUCCUAACCCAAUCUUAAUUCUAAAUAAAUUAAGUAAAAAGUAAAAGAUGAUUCUAAAAAAUUAAAUAACCUCCAAAUAUACUCUGUGUCUAAACUCUAAACUUGUGGCUGGAGCUAACUCUCCUUUCUCCAAUAGAAAGUGAGUAGGUGUUGUCCCUCUGUAUUUGACACGUAAAUCUUUUCGAGGUGACUCGGCGCCACCUCACGUGGGCCAUGCAAGUGCGUCCACACGUGAUAACACCCCUAAAUUCCGACAAAAUAAGGUGGGCCUCCGCCUAAUAUUUGGGUUGUCAGCAGAAUGUCAGAGCAAAAAGUUAGAAGAGGUGACGCAAUUGCCAGAUGGCAGUCAACAUGGCGAUGGAACCGGCCACGGACGGUGACCUAAGCACGUGCAUGCACGUGGUUGAAGAUGCACUGCUGAUAUCCCAUGCACCAUCGUACACCAUAGAGCCGUUGAUCGUAGAUGGUACAUUGUUGUUGCUUUGGUUAUCUUCAUUUUGAUUUUGCCCACCGGUCGAUGAUGAUUUUUGGCUGCAAUAUAAUUUAGAAAAACUUAGUCAGCAGCAAUUCAGAUUCAGGUAAAUUGGACUCGGCUACAUAAAUUUUUUAUUUUUAUAUUAAUUUCAAUGAAAAAUCACAUAGAUAAUUAAGAAUGAAUCUCUAGGUCAGAUCUUACUUAUGAAUUACACCAACUUUGUUUGUAUUGUCGUUUAGAAUGAAGCUGGUUACAUCGACACUCUCUCAAGUCUCAAAAACAAUAAUUAUUACGCAAUUAUUAAGUCCAAAAUCUAACGGAUCGUGAGAAUUUUUUGUCAUUUAGUAUUAGUUACUGAAAAUAAAACAGGAUUUACCAAAAACUACUUCCUCCUUAUAUUUUUACUUGUCAAAUAUAUUAAAAAUUGUUAUGAAAUAUUAGAUUAUGGUGGAUGUCCAUAACUCCUAUAACAUCCACUAUUUUUAUCCAUUAUCUUCAUAACUCCCACUGCUCCUCCCACUGCUCCAAUACUUAUGGUUGUAACUCCCACAUCUCCAUGAUCUCCCCCAUGAUCUUCCUCCAUGA